UUGAAACACCAGUUCCUGUAUGAACACUGAAGUUAAGCAACAUCAAACAUGGUCAGUACCUGGAUGAUUGACUGCUUAGGAAUACCAGGUGUUGUAAU